AUGAGGAAUGGAAGGAUGCAGGAAGGAAGGGACAGAGAGAUGGAGGGAUGAAGGGACAGAGAGAUGGAGUAUGGGGGGCCAGAGAGAUGUGGCACUGGAGGGCAGCCUGGGACCUGGACCACAGCAGCAGCUUCAGCUGGGUUUCAGCAAAGUCAUCAUCUCUACAGGGAAAACUACCCUGAGCAGGUUCACUGCCAGCUUGGAACAGUGGUGCCAUCUGUGCUGCUUACAGGUGCUUUCCUUGAGGGAUAUGGAGAGUGUUUGUGUAUGGCAAAACUGCUGUCAGAUGUCCUGGGUGAAGGUUGAGGCUUUCCAGGAAAUGCCAUGGUCUCGGAGCAAAUAAAACCCAUGGGUGCAGCCAUCCAGCAUUCCUGCAACCUCUGCCCUGCUCCUUGCUGCAGUGCCAUACAGCACAUGGCAUGGCAGAGUGGCCUCUUCUUUCCCUCCUGAGCCACCACGGCAUCCUGCUACCCUGGAAGAGAAGAAAUAUGACAUGGUUGCUUUCCUUGCAAUCAGUAAGAUGAGGAAAUAAGCACUUUGGUUUUGGUGGUUCCUGCUGUGAUCUUGCCUCUCAGAAUUUACUCAGAAAGAGCCCUCCUCAUCUUUGAAUCCACUGCUACCUGAGCCAGCAAAGUGACAGCUUGCAUGAGGGGGGCAGGAGGGGGCUGGCAUGGACCAGGGAGGGCCUUUGUAGCCCCUACUCAGUUGGGUGGGGAUGCAAGGUAGGUUUGCUGUGUAACUCAGGCUUAAAACUUCCAAAUAAUUCUUCAAAACACCUAAUAAAAUUUUAGCUAGCCAAUCCCAACACUCAACCGAAAUGUGGGAGCAGGUUUUGUUUACUUAUAAACAAGUAAAGCAAUUACAAAUCAUUUUAGAAAAUCAAUGAAGUUAAUUUAGAGUUAAGAUAGAAAUUGGAUCACUGAAAAAUUAUGAAUGUGGGUACAGAGAACAUCUAAUCACUAGAGGAUGUUCUUUCCACAUUUGGUUUGACUUUCUUGAUUGUUUCCCCAGUAGGGAAAGCAAUGACAUAAGAAAGUUUAAUAACAGAACAACAAAACAAGGAAAUAUAAAAGUGGAAUAAGUCUCACAUCAUAUAAACUUACCAUAAAGAUGCAUAUCAAAGAUUAGGAAGUAGCAAGUCAUUUAAGGCUGAACAAUCCAAAUCAUUAACUUUUAAUAUAAAGUUACUUCAUAUCUCACCACACUGAUGUUUUUAUCUCCUAGAAUAAUAACAAUUUUGCUGAAUGACUUCCUGCAUAUCAGCUGCUUUUCUUUUGUGAGCACAUAAAGGAAAUACAAAAGUGUUAGAAAAAUUUUGCAACUGUGAAAGAAAAAAAAAGCCUUUUAUUUGCAUUUCUGUAUUAGCUAAAAGACCUAGAGUGUACAAAGUUUUGUCUGUUUGUUUCAAAUUUUAUACAUCAGGUAUUCUGAAAUUUCAGACCUGUCUUACCUUCUGGAUUAUAGAGCAAAUAUAAAACUUGCCCUUAAGCAGAAACUGUGCUGCAAGAACAAGAAGCUGCCAGCUGUGGGACUAAAUAUCUGCUAUUCUAAGACUUUAUCCUCAACAUUUGCCAGGAGAUGCUUGAAGAAUAUUAAAAACACAGGCAGCCCCUGCUUUUCUGCGUCUCAGGGGUGCAGAAGAGGCAGGAAGGUGCCUGUUAAAGCAAUACCAUCUAGUGGCGGAUGCAGAAAGAGAAUCCCCCAACAGGAGCAGAGCUGGAAAGGUGAAAGCUGAAAAGACAUUAUUUAAAAACAAAACCACCUGCUUGAGAGUAUUUUUUUUCAUUACCUGUUUCCAUGGUAAUGUAUCAAAA